rnacentral:rRNA from 1 species
AUUGAACGCUGGCGGAAUGCUUUACACAUGCAAGUCGAGCGGCAGCGCGGGGCAACCUGGCGGCGAGCGGCGAACGGGUGAGUAAUGCAUCGGAACGUACCCCGUCGUGGGGGAUAACUACCCGAAAGGGUAGCUAAUACCGCAUACGACCUGAGGGUGGAAGCGGGGGACCGAAAGGCCUCGCGCGAUGGGAGCGGCCGAUGCCGGAUUAGCUAGUUGAUAGGGUAAAGGCCUACCAAGGCGACGAUCCGUAGCUGGUCUGAGAGGACGACCAGCCACACUGGAACUGAGACACGGUCCAGACUCCUACGGAGGCAGCAGUGGGGAAUUUUGGACAAUGGGCGAAAGACCUGAUCCAGCCAUUCCGCGUGAGUGAAGAAGGCCUCGG